AUACGGAGGGUGCGAGCGUUACUCGGAGUCACUGGGCGUAAAGCGUCCGUAGGCGGUCGGGUAAGUCGGGUGUGAAAGCCCCGGGCUCAACCCGGGAAGUGCACCCGAUACUGCUCGACUCGAGUGCGGGAGAGGAUGGCGGAAUUCCCGGUGUAGCGGUGAAAUGCGUAGAGAUCAGGAGGAACACCAGUGGCGAAGGCGGCCAUCUGGCCCGCAACUGACGCUCAGGGACGAAAGCGUGGGGAGCAAACAGGAUUAGAAACCCUAGUAGUCC
rnacentral:rRNA from 1 species